rnacentral:rRNA from 1 species
UACGUAGGGGGCUAGCGUUGUCCGGAAUCAUUGGGCGUAAAGCGCGUGUAGGCGGUCCGGUAAGUCCGCUGUGAAAGUCAGGGGCUCAACCCUCGGAUGCCGGUCGAUACUGCCGGACUAGAGUUCGGAAGAGGCGAGUGGAAUUCCCGGUGUAGCGGUGAAAUGCGCAGAUAUCGGGAGGAACACCUAUGGCGAAGGCAGCUCGCUGGGACGUUACUGACGCUGAGACGCGAAAGCGUGGGGAGCAAACAGG